CAAGAUCAUUGAAUUUCCAAAUCCGCCAAGUCAUUUCUCAAAUGUACUUAUUAUCCUUGCAACUUUCGAAAUUUCUAAUGUUUAAUUAAGUGUAUUUUUUUUCUUUUUUUAUGCAUUUAGAUCUUGCCCAAACAUACAUGAAGUAAUGAAUCCAAAUGUACAUCCAAAAGAAAAGAGAACUAUUCCUGCUAACACCUAUCAUUCUUGGGAUCUAGACUGGAGAAGUGACUUGCCAAUUCUCCAUCUACGGGCUGAAUCUAAAAU
rnacentral:lncRNA from 1 species